CACGUAGGAGGCGAGCGUUGUCCGGAAUCAUUGGGCGUAAAGAGCGCGCAGGCGGCUUGGCAAGUCGGGUGUGAAAUCCCGGGGCUCAACCCCGUGACUGCAUCCGAUACGGGCAGGCUAGAGUUCGGUAGGGGAGACUGGAAUUCUCGGUGUAGCGGUGAAAUGCGUAGAUAUCGAGAGGAACACCUGCGGCGAAGGCGGGUUGCUGGGCUGACACUGACGCUGAUGCGCGAAAGCUAGGGGAGCGAACGGG
rnacentral:rRNA from 1 species